AGUGAACGCUGGCGGUAGGCCUAACACAUGCAAGUCGAACGGCAGCACAGUAAGAGCUUGCUCUUACGGGUGGCGAGUGGCGGAAGGGUGAGGAAUACAUCGGAAUCUACUUUUUCGGGGGGGAUAACGUAGGGAAACUUACGCUAAUACCGCAUACGACCUACGGGGGAAAGCAGGGGAUCUUCGGACCUUGCGGGAUGGAAUGAGCCGAUGUCGGAUUAGCUAGGUGGCGGGGUAAAGGCGUAGCAAGGCGACGAUGCGUAGCUGGUACGAGAGGAUGAUCAGCCACCCGGGCACUGAGAAUCAGCCCACACUCCGGCGGGAGGCAGCGGUCGAGAAUCUUGCGGGAUGGAGGAGUGCCUGAUACAGCAAUAUCGCGGGAAGGCAGAAGCAGUUCGGCCGGGUGAGUCAUGUUGUUGGGAGAGAAGUACAGCAGGUUUAUACCGCACUGUAAUGACGGUACCGAAAGAAUAAGCACCGGCUAACUUCGUG
rnacentral:rRNA from 1 species